rnacentral:rRNA from 1 species
GCGGCCUAUCAGCUUGUUGGUGAGGUAAUGGCUCACCAAGGCGACGACGGGUAGCCGGCCUGAGAGGGCGACCGGCCACACUGGGACUGAGACACGGCCCAGACUCCUACGGGAGGCAGCAGUGGGGAAUAUUGGGCAGUGGACGCAAGUCUGACCCAGCGACGCCGCGUGAGGGAUGAAGGCCUUCGGGUUGUAAACCUCUUUCAGUGGGGAAGAAGCGAAAGUGACGGUACCCAAAGAAGAAGCACCGGCUAACUAUGUGCCAGCGGCCGCGGUAAUACAUAGGGUGCAAGCGUUGUCCGGAAUUAUUGGGCGUAAAGAGCUCGUAGGUCGUUUGACACGUCGGAUGUGAAAAUCUGAGGCUUAACCUCAGACCUGCAUUCGAUACGGUCAAACUAGAGUGUGGUAGGGGAGACUGGAAUUCCU